CGGGCGGCGGGGCGGCAGGCGGCAGCGCGGCGAGGCAGGAAGAAAAAUACUGCUGCUACAAAGAAUUCCUCUGCCAAGUAAGAACCCCUUAAGAAGGUCAACUGGAACUGCUGGUUGAACACAUGAAGCUGAAGCCAAAUCCUACUCUGGACAUGUGGAGCUAAUGGAGCAAAGGUGUAUGCUGAGGGAGGCCUGUGAAGAAGCCUUUCCAGGGAGAUUCCCAGGUCAGAGAAGUGUCCACAGAGUUUUCAGGUUUGAAAACAUGGUCUUUUUCCAAAACUUCCCUCCUAUUAUGAAGAGAGGAUUAUGACCAACCAUCAGCCUCUGCUCAGAGGAUGAAGCUGUGUCCGCAAG